rnacentral:lncRNA from 1 species
UUUAAUUUUGAUAAGCUUAAACUUUUAUUAUUGUAUUCUUCCCUGUCAAAUUUGUUGUAGUGCUCCUUGAUGCAUCUCUUCUAAUAGUCGCACUAGAAAUGAUUUUCAAGUGGCCCCUCUUCCAUGGCAAGGUGGAUCAUUCCUAUUCGGAAAGGGCUUGAAAGUGCACCAUUAACUUGUUCUUCUCAUAGAAAAACAUCACCACCGUACCAUAAUCAUGAACCAUCAAUUUUAUAGCUAGGUUUAAUUAUAGCACUCAUUUUUUUCUAGACCUUAUUAUAAAUUCCACAAUCAGAUAUUUUCUAUCCUUUCCACUCAUCCCUCCAAUACCCUUCUAUAAGUAGCCCUAUUUUAUCUUUUAUGCAUCAUCAAGAAUCAAAAAUUACUUCUAGUUCCUGCAAGAGCUAAAGGGAAAUAUAUAUAUUUUCUUUUUCCCACAUGAAGCUUAUCGUGUUCUUGCUGUUACUUCUUGUAAUGGCUGACUUCAAUUUUGCCAUGAAUAGGAGAACGGUGAUGAUUGGAGAUAAUCACGCAAUUCAAAGCAAGGAAAUCAAGAACUUGGAGAUGGAGAAAAAUACUACAGAAAUGGAAGGUGAGCCUGGUUUGAAUAAUCACCAUACCAUUCCAAGGCAAUCUUUUGGAGGUUAUGUAAAUAAUCAAAGAUGGACGACCUUCAGGAAAUACUCCUUAAUUAGAUUGCCAUAGUUAGAUGAAUUUCCUUUUUAUAUGAGGUUUAAUAAGAUAACAUAAUUAAGGACUUGUAUGAUAUGGUUAAAUGUUUUGUGAUGGAGGGUAUUUAUAUAUGCUAGAGUUAUACGAGAAAGCUUCGACCCAUGAGUCAAUUGUCUAAGAAAGUGUUCAAGGGAGAGUGUUACUGCAUUCUUCGUGAAAUUAUAGUUUGCGUUAAGUUUAUAGUUCGAAAAAUAUAUUAUAUUAUGAAUAUGUGCUACCAAUUGUUCAAAUUUAUAUAAUAUAUAUAUUUUUUAAUUUCUUGACUAUUUAUUUAUUUUCAAUCCAUUCAAUAUUUAAUUACUUAUUUGUUUAUUAGGAGUCAACAAUUUAAUAAUUAACUCUUUCGGAUUACUUUUUGUUAAGAGAAAAAAAUAUCUAUUUUCGAUUUUUGUUAUUGGGCCUAAGCAUGGUCACAAGACAGUACAGAAGGUU